AGGAGAGAAAAUGGCCGCCGGUGGUGGCAGCGCGGGGUGAGCCCGCUGGAGGGGAGCGCGGCCCCGCAGCGCACCUGAGGGAGCGCGGCCGCGGGCAGAGGACGGUGCGGGGCGGAAAGGCAGUGAGCGGCAAGUGUAAGGCUGUGGAUCAAGGUGUUCACCAAUAGAGAAAAGGGCAGUGUAGAGAGUCCAGCAUCACAAUCAACACAACGGAGAGACAGAGUCAAUUAUUAAACCCUGGGCAGCCUGCAGGGCUUUCAGCACUGGGUCUGCUUUCCUGUGGUUUAUGAACUCUUGCUAGCUUCAGUCAUCUGGAGAGAAAUGAGACAUGCAAGCCUCCAGAAAAUAUUAUUUAUUAGGAUCUACAAUAAGACACACAAAAGAUAUAAUUUUGAAACCAACAAUUAUAAAAAAAUUAUAUUAAAAUAUUUCUGUAAAUUUUAAGCAAAGUCCAUUGGGACUUCCUGAGAAUGAAAAUAUUUUUCCUGGAGAAAACAUUAGUAACACUGAAAGAGCUGUGUGUUGCCUCUGGGGACCCAUUUUACUGAAAGCAAAGAUGGGGAGGUGACCAGCUGUCUCAGAGUCAUUGAACAGGCUCAGGAAACCCUGCUCUUGAUGUAGCUGGUUUUGGCAAUAGCUUGAAAAGUCUUGGUGUGAUUUGGUGCCUUUUCUCACUGGCCAGCCAUGACCACAGCCUUUCCAUUUCCCAGCUUUUUGGCGGCCUUUGUAAAACUCUUGAUAUCUGAGAGUACAGUUGCUGAAAGCUUCAAUCAAAUGCUGCAGGUACUGAAGAGUGUCCCAGGAGCACCAUGUAUAAAAUGCAAAGUCAUUAUGUGCACAUAUCUAUAAACCAAAUGAGUUCUUCAUCUUGCUUUUCUCCUGCUGUGAACUUGGUGUUCAUCUGCAUCCUUCAGUACCUAAUUAUUAUUUUUAAGUGUGCAUUUCCUUACCUAUCAGGGUGUACCAGCUUUGUCUCUCACAGUUCAUAUUAGCUAUCCUCUGUGCUUGAUACAUUACUUUAGGAAUACAAUUAUUUCUUGCUGACAUCUCUACCACUUUGAUUAAUAAAAUUAAUUAAAACCAUUACAACAGGAGGUAAUUUAUGAAACACUAAACAAGAAGCCCUCCCCCCCCAAGAGCUGACUAAGACAAGAACAAAAGGAGUAAUCAUGGGUGAUAAUUGCAUUAUCUCAUUCCAUUUUCUUCUGAAACCUCAUUACAGCUGUCCCAAGAAAACAUGCAUUAUCCAAUCCAAGUAAUGAAAGAGCAAUUCUAAAAGCUAAUUGUCUAUAAAAAUCUAGAGCUGAUCCUUUACUCCUUGGAAAUAGGAAGGUAAUUGUAUUGGUGUGCCAAUUCAUGGUCAUCAUCACAGGGGAUCACAUCCAGCUUCAGAGUACCAACUUCUCCCUUUCAUAAGGUUGGAAUUAAAAAAAACAUUCAAAUAUUGCAGUGAGACCAUUCCAGCACAGAUGUGAUUUUCAUUCAUCAUGGGUCUAUAUUUGGGAAAGAAAUGCAUGCAAGAUCCAGUGGCUAAAAACUGAAUAGAAAUUCUGUGGCCUGGAGCAAGAGGAUUAUCCGGGCACCUUCAAGCUUUAAAAUCCUUUAAACUGAUACCCAAGACAGGAAAACACUAACAUCUCUUCAAGUUUUCCUUCCAAGCCACAGGAAACUAGAAUGAGAAAAGGAAACAAAUCACAAGUAAUUUUUUGGUGCUCCACUGGCCACAUUUCAUGGCACAGGAGUUACCUCAGAUGGCAGCAGUGGGGCUGCUCCAGAAGGUCUGGUCAAAGACCAGACCUGGAAAACUGUCUUCACUCAGCAAGUCUUGGCUUUGUGGCUACUGCAAAGACAGCAAAAGAAAGUGAGAAGAAACAUUGCUGUUCACUGAGGGGGAUGAGGAUUCCAAAGAUAUGGGCUGAAAUGCUUUCUGACUGAAGUGUAACCCUGUGAAAGAAAAUGCAUCGACUGCUUGGGAGUGAUGAAGGAAGUCCUAAGAAAGGAACAUGAAACAGGAUCUCAAAUUAUCCACUGUUGUUUGCACAGGUUUUGUUUGGGGUUUUGUUGUUUUUUUCUUCAAGAAGAAAUCAUUAGGAAACUAAAUUUGGACACCAAUCUGCUGCUUACUGCUGCUUCUGCUACUACCAUGGCCCCAAACUGAUGGUACAACAGCCAAAAUGCAUUAGGAAUGCAGCUGACAUCAACAUAUCUCUGCUGAAUGUCUUGUAUGACAUGAAUGUCUUGGUGCAGAUCAGCAGUACCGAUAUUUAACCGUGACUUUUCUGUGUAGACAAUGUUUAACAGGCCAGAAACAAUACACAGGCAUGCAGUACCAUAAACAUGCAUGGUACAGCAGAAGGAACCAAGCUCAUCUCAUGAAGAAGAAAAACAGCCCUGAAUUCAGCUAUUGUAAACAUCCUAGUAGAAAAGGGCCAUAAUGAUUCAUCUUUACAAAUAAAAGUAUGGAUUGAUAAGUAUAAUCCCCCCCCUUUGGAUUAAAAUUCCAGUCUGCUUAGUGCUGAGGUAGAAGAGUUUCAAUAAAUGUAGAAGUAUGUGAGAAAAUGGUGUCUAGGAAUUUAUCUUCCUUGAUCAUAGAUCAUUAUGUAUAAGCAAAUCAUUGUAUAGCAAAUAGAAGUUAUAGAUUAUUAAAAAUAAAAAUGAACAUGUGGUUUCUCAGUGAUUCAGUGAAAUGCUGCACCCUGAGCAUAAGGGCAAGUGAUCCUUUUAUGCAAGAGAGUAGCACGUCUCCUACUAGCCCCAAGAGAUGAACGAGUCAUACUCACAAAAAUUACUAAAAAAUGGGGAUCCAAAUUUGUUUUGAUUAGGUGUGGGAUUUUGAUCCUGUGCCUUUAAAAGCUGGCAGUUUAGCAAAAACAUCAAGCUGCAUAAUUUCCCACUGGCUAGAAAAAUACUGCUGAUGAUCUCUCAAGUGGAACUGAGCAAAAAGCCUUAUCUCAUGCAAACAGUGAGUUGUGUAUUUUUGGUUUUGGGGUUUUUUUUCCCCUCUGUGUUAUAUAAUAAGAAGCCAGGUGUGUUCUUCACUUUCUAUGGAAAUACUGAUUCCUCAUUUCAACUGCUGGCUUUUAAGAGCUCCCUUCAAUGUAUAUAUUGGUUAUAGGAUUGAACAUUAAUCUAUUAAAAAAAGGCCUAGAAUUUGAUUACUACACACUCAAUGCAGAUUAAUGAAUCUGCAGAUGCAGCUACACAAGAUCCCUGUGCUCAUCCCUCAAGCAAGGAUGUUGACAAAUGACAAAACCUGGCACAUUUAUCCUGGACUUUUCAGGUUGCAAUGCGCAAACAGAUGAAAUGGAGCCCGGAAUAAAUGGAAAUAUCCUAAACCCACCAUCCCUUACAGCUCAAACCCACAACCUUCAAAGGCAGUGCAUCUGUCAGCUGGUAACUGCAUUUUUUUGGCCAUAACAAGACCAUGUGUUGUUCACAAUGGCAGAGCCCAAAGUGAUGCACAGUGAAUUAUGUAGAGAACUGAGAAGCCUCCCUGUGCUGCUGCUAUUAUGGGGUCAUUUUUGUUCACUCACCUGGAGUAACAGCUGCUUUUAAUUCUUCCCUUCUCUGCCCUCUCCUGUGUUCUCUCAUUAGCAAAGGGACCUUUCCUGGUUGUACCAUUUUGGAGCUGGCAUUCUUAAAACCACAGUUUGGAGAUGAGAAAUUUCAGGUAGCACUUGGCAAAUCCAGAGGAUGCUGUGGAAGCUGCUGAUAUGAUUCCAGUACAGCAUAUGGAAUGUAUGGAAGAGGAGUAAGCUGAAAGCAUUUCACUCAAGAGAGAUAAGAACAACUGAAGGAAACACAGGAGCAUGGAGGUGUAGCACUGGGCUGGACACACGGCUCCCAGAGGCACUUGGCACAGCUGAUCACUCCCUAACAGAAGCAAACUGAGAAGAUUUCUCCAAUGCAUCAUCAAUAACCCCCCUGACAACCUGUUGCUGAGGCUUUUUCUCCAUUCAGAGGUUUGUUCUCAUCACCACUGUCUGUUUCUAUUCACUAAGGUCAUGGCCUCUCUCAAUUUUACACACAUUUCUGUAUCUAUACGGAACUUUCCUCAAACACAGUGUUUUCUCUCCAGACCUUCCCCCCCUCUAUGGAAAAUUCAGUUCAGGUAUGUUGGACACUUAUUCCAGCCCAACAUAACAUGGUGAGAACUAUUUUAUUGCUAUGAACAUCUCCUGGCUCCUUCAUAGGUAUUUCAAUACAGGGAGUAAAUUAAAAAACAAAAGACAUGUAAAAUUACAAACAGCACUGCAGUCAAUUUUUCUGACAGUUCUACAUUUACUAAA